CGUAACACGUGGGCAACCUGCCCUAGAGUGGGGGACAACAUGCCGAAAGGCGUGCUAAUACCGCAUGUGUAUCGGAAUGGCAUCAUUCAGGAUACAAAGGAUUUAUUCGCUCUAGGAUGGGCCCGCGGCCUAUCAGCUAGUUGGUGGGGUAACGGCCUACCAAGGCUACGACGGGUAGCUGGUCUGAGAGGACGAUCAGCCGGAUUGGGACUGAGAUACGGCCCAG
rnacentral:rRNA from 1 species